rnacentral:lncRNA from 1 species
UAAGGCCCCGUUUGGUUUGGGAGAUAAGCAGGGAUAAUAAAAGUUAUCUUCGCUAUUCCACCAAACGGGAUAAUUUUUUGUCGGGAUAUUUUAUGCCGGUCAAACUUUACUAUUCUCGGUUAUUCCGGAAUAGCUUGAGAUUUACUAUUCCACCAUUUUAGUGGAAUAGUGUUAUUCCAAUGCUUAAUUUCAAACUUAAUUAAAAAUUAUAAAUUGAAUUAAAACUAAAUUAUAUAAAUAUAAUAUGUUAUAUAUUAUUUAAAGUUUAAAACUUAAACUUUAAAAUUUUUAAAAUUAAAUUUAAGAUUUUAAAAUUUUAAAUUUUUAAAAUUUAUAUUUUAAAUUCUAAAAUAUAAAUAUAAAAUAUAAAAAUUUAAAUUCUAAUAUAAAGAAAGAGAUAAUAUCAUUAUUUUUAAUUUAUAACUGUUCAUUUUAAUUCUUAUUCCAUCUUAAUUAACCAAACGCUAUUUUGUUUAUUCCCAGAAAUAACCCAAUUUCCAUUCAAACGUAAAAUUAAUCUAAUUCCUGUUUAUGCCUCAAUUUAUAUCUAUCUCCGGAAUAGUCACUUUUUACUUAUCUCUUUUUACUUAUCUCCGAACCAAACGAUACCUAAUAACUUAUUGUCACAUAAAAUAUUAGCUGAUCGAUUUUUUUUUUCUUUUCUUUAAUUUUUUGUCCCAAAUGAAAAAUCCAAGGACUGAGAAAUUAUGUUCUUAAGAUUAAGAUGGAGAUGGAGAUACCUCAUUGAUUGAGAGCGACGUAGUGCGCAAAAAGAUGAACCAACCUUAAUGUUUGGAACUAUUCGUGAUUCGUCCCCCCCACCCCAUCACAAACACCCAAAAGAAGAAAACAGAAAAAAAAAAAAAAAAAAAAAAAAAAANCUAUAGUUUCAUAUUUUUUCACUGUAGUACUCUAUAAUUUUAAGUAUAUCAAUUUAGUAUCAUGUAGUUUUAUUUUUAUCUUUUUAUUAUCGAUUCCACUAAUUUCAGUGACAAAGUUAAAAAACUAAAGGAUAUUAAAGUGAAUAUUCGAUAAACCUAGAUAGGAUAUCUGAAGUUUUUGUAUAUAAUUUAACGAUAACGAAAAAACUAACGAAAAAAUAAAAAUAAAACCAUAUGAUACUAACUUGAUACACUUUAAACCACGUGGUACUAAAGUGAGAAAGUGUAAAACCAUAGAAAUGGUUUUUGAAGUUUACCCUAAAAAAAAAAAAGAAAUGCUUCAAUACACAAGCUCAACUAAAUCCAGUCGUUCAUAUUUUAAGGUCAAGAUUGACUUUUACAAAGCAGCAACCUGCACAUCAGGUUACCAACCAAAAUCAAUAGUAAAAGCAAUAUUGGAAAAUAAAUACUAGCCAAUUAUCAAAUUAAAUAACAUUCAACAAAUAUUUGUUUUCUUCUUUAAUUU